rnacentral:misc_RNA from 1 species
CUCCUGGUACUUGCUUCUGUUUGAUCUCCCCCAAAUAUUCUAGCCAUGCCAAAGUCUGAAAUCUUUGGAUUUAGUUCCUCAUCCAACAAAAUGUUGCUAGCCUUUAGGUCUCGAUGAAUNNNNNNNNNNUCGAUGAAGAUAAAGAAGACCUCUAGCAAUCCCCUCAAUAAUAUUGAACCUCUUUGUCCAGUCUAAUAAUGCCUGCUUUGCAGGGUCAAAAAGAAAGAAAUCCAAG